GGAGAAAAACAUUUUAUUAUGCCCGUGAGCCCACUGGGGAUUCUAAGCACUCUACCAGAAAUGAGAGCCUCCUUAUAUAGGGAUCUACAGAGUAGGUGAGCAUGCUCAAUGAAGCAGGGGGCGGAGUUACAGAACAUUCCUGAAGUAAAGGGGUGGGGUUACAGAACAUUCCUGAAACACAUGCCAUGUGAGCAUGCUCAAUAAAGCAGGAGGAAGAGUUACAGAAUAUUCCUGAAACAGAGGGGCAGAGUUACAGAACAUUCUUGAGAGGGGCGGGGCUUAACAGAACACUCCUCAAAGGUCAUACAGUUCAAAGAGUCACAAACAAUUUUGAUACAUUGGGCCAGAGCCCAGCAACACAAACUUACACUUCCAAAACAAAACAUUCUGUGGGCAAAAAAUGGAGGCAAGAAACAGCACUCUUCCCUGAGAAAGAUACAAGUUCCCCUCUCUUCCACUGUAAGUAAGUCAACGGCAUGGCGGUUUUGUAGAGUGACUCCAGUUACAUCCUGUGAAUGGUGUCCUCAGGCUUCGGCCAUGCAUAGACUCCACAUCUGACUAGAGCAGGACUGUUAUCUCCUGAUGCUAUAUCCAAGGCAAGGUGAGUUCCAAGGUCUUCUGUCUGAGUCGAGUCCUAAGGGGAUUCUGGGGGUUCAGGUGGGUAGUCCAGGUGUCCAGGACUUCUGCAGGGAGGAACUUCUUUAUUCAUGAUGUGCCCAUGUGAUAAUACCUGUAACUUUGACAGCAGUGGGGGAAGAAAGCACAACAGUAUAUGGCCCUAGCCAAUAGGUUGGAGGGGUGUCCUUUUCCAAUCUUUAACCCAAACUGAUAACAUCUCUCCUAAAAUAUCUAAUGAUUGGGGGGAGGUCUCUCAAACAUUAUCUCAUAUGGGGAAUAACCUAAGAGUCUGUCCACCUGACUCUGGGCAGGGCCAGAGGUAACAUGUCUGGCCACUCUGUCCCUGUUUCUUGGCAAUACUUAGCAAAGAUGGUUUUAAGGGUUCAAUUCAUGCAUUCUAGCCUCCUUGAAAUUUGUGGCUGAUAGGCUCUGCACAGAUUCCAUUUAAUCUUUAGCAUAUCAGAGAGGCCUUGGAUAGCCU
rnacentral:lncRNA from 1 species